CUAAUUGUUUAUUUAUUACUGUCCCUCUAAGGAAGGCUUAUAAGAACAGAAAUCUUCUAUGUCUUAGUCUCUGCUAUUGCCCCCUGUCCCUGGCACACUGGAGGCAUUCGGGCCUGCUUGCCUCCCACCUGCUGAGGGGCCUUGGACAGACCUGGGCCUGUGUCCUCUCAGCCAACAAGGAGGGGUUGCCAUGAUGAUCUAUAAGGGCCCUUCAGGUCUCCAUCCCGGAUUCAUUCACUCCACAAAGCCACCCUGGGGGUCUGCAUGUACCACCCGCAGCACAACACGCCAGUCCCUCUGGAGGGAGCUCUGGAGGGCUCCAAGCUCUGGGCAAAUGACCCACACCUGCAUUUAAACUGGGCCUCCCUGCUCCCGUUUAACCACCAUUCAUCCCAAGUCUCAAGAAGGCAACAGAAAAUGCCCUGUUUGGAGCUUUGACAGAAAAACUCCUCUCUCAAGAAGGUCUGAGUUGAUGGUUCGCUUUCUUCGAAAACAAGAACGAUGCUUUAAGUUGGG
rnacentral:lncRNA from 10 species